CGCCAGGGUAUUACGAGCCUCAGCUUAAAACCCAAAGGACUUGACGGUGUCCCACCCAUCUAGAGGAGCCUGUUCUAUAAUCGAUACCCCCCGCUAUACCCUACCACUUUUAGCCUAUCAGCCUGUAUACCUCCGUCGUAAGUUUACCGUGUGAACGUCUAUAGUGAGCUAAAUGACUUUUCGCCAAUACGUCAGGUCAAGGUGCAGCCCAUGAAGUGGCAAGCAAUGGGCUACAAUUUCUAACCUAGAACAAACGGAUGAACUGUAAUGAAACAGUUUAGAAGGAGGAUUUAGUAGUAAAAAGAAAACAUAAGUGUUCUUUUUAAUUUGGCACUGGGACGUGU
rnacentral:rRNA from 1 species